UACGUAGGGACCAAGCGUUGUUCGGAUUUACUGGGCGUAAAGGGCGCGUAGGCGGCAAUUCAAGUCAUCUGUGAAAUCUCCGGGCUUAACUCGGAACGGUCAGAUGAUACUGCUUGCUAGAGUACAGAAGGGCAAUCGGAAUUCUUGGUGUAGCGGUGAAAUGCGUAGAUAUCAAGAGGAACACCUGAGGUGAAGACGGGUUGCUGGGCUGAUACUGACGCUGAGGCGCGAAAGCUAGGGUAGCAAACGGG
rnacentral:rRNA from 1 species